rnacentral:ncRNA from 2 species
GCCUAAGAAGAGCGUGACGGUUCUUCGUAAGAAGUGAAUAGGGAACGCGGUGAGGAGUCUUCCGAUUCCGCGGCUGCCCCCGCAACUGUGACCGGCGAGGCCGCGCCAAGCGCCACUGCGGAUAUAACGCCGCGGGAAGGCGGCGUGAGCCUUUGACCCGUAAGCCAGGAGACCUGCCGUCACUAGCCUGUUAGA